ACCAACAGGGAUUGCCUUAGUAGCGGCGAGUGAAGCGGCAAAAGCUCAAAUUUGAAAUCUGGCACUUUCAGUGUCCGAGUUGUAAUUUGAAGAAGGUAUCUUUGGGUCUGGCUCUUGUCUAUGUUUCUUGGAACAGAACGUCACAGAGGGUGAGAAUCCCGUGCGAUGAGAUGACCCAGACCUAUGUAAAGUUCCUUCGAAGAGUCGAGUUGUUUGGGAAUGCAGCUCUAAGUGGGUGGUAAAUUCCAUCUAAAGCUAAAUAUUGGCGAGAGACCGAUAGCGAACAAGUACAGUGAUGGAAAGAUGAAAAGAACUUUGAAAAGAGAGUGAAAAAGUACGUGAAAUUGUUGAAAGGGAAGGGCUUGAGAUCAGACUUGGUAUUUUGUAUGUUACUCUCUCGGGGGUGGCCUCUACAGUUUACCGGGCCAGCAUCAGUUUGGGCGGUAGGACAAUUGCAAAGAAAUGUGGCACUGCCUCGGUAGUGUGUUAUAGUCUUUGUCGAUACUGCCAGCCUAGACUGAGGACUGCGGCUUCGGCCUAGGAUGUUGGCAUAAUGAUCUUAAGUC
rnacentral:rRNA from 1 species